AAUCAACGCUGGCGGCGUGCCUAACACAUGCAAGUCGAACGCGAAAGCGGAGCAAUCCGCAAGUAGAGUGGCAAACGGGUGAGUAACGCGUGGGCGACCUACCUCUGAGUGGGGGAUAACUUCCGAAGGAGGGCUAAUACCGCAUGACAUCCCGUGUUUAGAUACACGGACAUCAAAGCCGGGGAUCGCAAGACCUGGCGCUUGGAGAGGGGCCCGGCGUCCGAUUAGCAGUUGGUGAGGUAACGGCUCACCAAGGCUCCGAUCGGUAUCCGGCCUGAGAGGGCGGACGGACACACUGGGACUGAGACACGGCCCAGACUCCUACGGGAGGCAGCAGGUGGGGAAUUGUUCGCAAUGGGCGCAAGCCUGACGACGCAACGCCGCGUGGAGGAUGAAGAUCUUCGGAUCGU
rnacentral:rRNA from 1 species